rnacentral:rRNA from 1 species
UACGGAGGGGGCUAGCGUUGUUCGGAAUUACUGGGCGUAAAGAGCGUGUAGGCGGCCAGAUAGGUCUGCUGUGAAAACUCGAGGCUCAACCUCGAGAUGUCGGCGGAAACCAUUUGGCUAGAGUCCGGAAGAGGAAAGUGGAAUUCCUGGUGUAGCGGUGAAAUGCGCAGAUAUCAGGAAGAACACCCGUGGCGAAGGCGGCUUUCUGGGACGGUACUGACGCUGAGACGCGAAAGCGUGGGGAGCGAACAGG